GUGGUGGCAGGUGCCUGUAAUCCCAGCUACUUGGGAGGCUGAGAUAGGAGAAUCACUUGAACCCGGGAGGCAGAGGUUGCAGUGAGCCGAGAUUGUGCCACUGCACUCCAGCCUGGGCGACAGAACAAGACUCUGCCUCAAACAAACAAACAAACAAACAAACAAAAAAGUGCUGGGAUUAUAGGCAUGAGCCACUGCACCACCGGGCCCCUUUUCUUUAAAAAGCACAGAACUGGCAGGGAGCGGUGGCUCACCCCGUAAUCCCAGCACUUUGGGAAGCCGAGGCGGGUGGAUCACGAGGUCAGGAGAUCAAGACCAUCCUGGCUAACACAGUGAAAUGCUGUCUCUACUAAAAAAAUACAAAAAAUUAGCUGUGUGUGAUGGCAGGUGCCUGUAGUCCCAGCUACUUGGGAGGCUGAGGCAGGAGAAUGGCAUGAACCCGGGAGGUGGAGCUUGCAGUGAGCCGAGAUCGCACCGCUGCACUCCAGCCUGGGCGACAGAGUGAGACUCCAUCUCAAAAAAAAAAAAAGAAAGCACAGAACUUACCUCACAAGGGCAUUGACAGGAUGGCAGAGAGAACAAGCACUGAGCGGGUGCAUGAUGGGGACCUGGGGAACAUUAGCCACGCGGGUAGAAAGGCAGUGGGUAUUUCUACAGAAGAGGAAGGACUCCCAUUCCCUGAGCCCCAACUCUGUGGCAGACGCUCUCAUAUGAUAUUUUAAGAAAUACCUGUAAACAACUUUUGAAGCAGGUUUUGAUCAUCCCCAUUUACAGAAGAGAAAACAGCCUCAGAGAGGUUAAGAGACUUCCUCUGGAUCACACAGCUAGUAAGCAGCAGAGCCAGGAUUCGAACCCAGCUCUACCCUCUAUCUCAUCCCAAAGACUAUGUUCUGCCUACUCUGAUCCAAGUGCCCUCUUGGACUUCCAGUGCAAGGAGGCUGUGGGAAGGGGAAGGAAGGGCUUAGGACCCUGAGGGACCUGCAAGGCUGGGGCUGCCCCUGUACCCUCCAUUAGCAUUCAGCCUGGGCCCUCAUUAUAUGAGUAGGUAGAGUCCUGAGUUCUGGACUAUGGGCUCCAUGCUUCAGUGAGUUAUCUUAUUUUAUUUAUUUUCGUGACAAGUUUUUGCUCUGUCACCCAGGGUGGAAUGCGGUGGCAGGAUCGCAGCUUACUGAAGCCUCAGCCUCCCAGGCUCAAGCGAUCUUCCCACCUCAACCUCCCAAGUAGCUGGGACCACAGGCACGCACCACCACACCUGGAUAAUUUAUUUUAUUUUAUUUUUAUGUUUUGAGACAGAGUCUUGCUCUGUUGCCCGGGAUGGAAUGCGGUGGGGCAAUCUUGGCUCACUGCAACCUCCACCUCCCGAGUUCAAGCGAUUCUCAUGCCUCAGCCUCCUGAGUUGCUGGGAUUACAGGCGUGUGCCACCACGCCCAGCUCAUUUUUGUAUUGUUAGUAGAGACAAGGUUUUGCCAUGUUGGCCAGGCUGGUCUGAAACUCAAGUGAUCCUCCUGCCUUGGCCUCCCAAAGUGCUAGGAUUACAGGCAUGAGCCACUGCGCCUGGCCCAGUUACUUAUUUUAGAAGUUAUAUUUGAGCACCUAUUCUGUGCCGAGCCCUGGCAUGAGCUGUGAACAGGCCAUAUCUAUCCUAGAUGUGCACUAAUGGGGCUUUGGAGGGUGGCAACAGGAGGCCCGGUGAAAUCCCCGGUGAGAGCAGCCUUUUCGCCGUGGCCUGCCGUGAAGCACUAUGGCAGCACCCACACCUGCCAGGACUGAAGAUGAAGAAACCGAGGCCCAGAGGGACUGACGCACUUGCUCGAGACCUACCCCAAGCCAGUCUGUUCUCUUAACGUCUAUUCUGCAGUUUGAUAUGUGACCAUUCACAGUGAGCUUGGUCAAUACAAAGAUGUUCCCAGAAACAUGUGUCAUCGUUAUAUAUUUAAUGUGCAGGAGAAAAAAAAUUAAAGUAGCAUUUUAAGCCUGUGAGUUCACAAAUAGUAUUGCUUAGGUUAAAUAUAUUUAAGUUCAUACAGUGACCAGUGCAAGUAUGGUCAUAGCGGCUUUAUUCAUAAUAGCAAAAACUGGAAACAAUCAAGACACCCAUCAACAAGAAAAUAGAGGAACAAACCGUGGAACAGCCAUAUAAUGGAAUACUCAGCCAGCAGCGAAAGGGAACAAACAACUGGUCAAUCUACAAUGGGGACAAAUGUCACAGACUUUUUUUGUUUGUUUGUUUUGUUUUUUGUUUUUUUGAAAUGAAAUCUCACUCUGUAGCCCAGGCUGGAGUGCAGUGGUGCAAUUUUGGCUCACUGCAACCUCCGCCUCCCGGAUUCAAGUGAUUCUCCUAUCUCAGCCUCCCAAGUAGCUGGGAUUACAGUCACCUGCCACCAUGCCCAGCUAAUUUUUGCAUUUUUGUAGAGAUGGGGUUUCGCUGUGUUGGCCAGCUGGUCUCGAACUCCUGACCUCAGGUGAUACUGAUCCACCCACCUGGGCCUCUCAAAGUGCUGGGAUUACAGGCGUGAGCCACCAUGCCCAUCCUCACAAACAUAAUACUGAGCGAAAGAAGCUAGACUUGAGUGUACACAUUAUACUAUACGAUUCCACUGAUACGAAGUUCAAGAAUAGCUAAAGCAAAUCUAUGGCUGCCAAUGGGGAGGUGGAUACUGCUCAACUGCUCAGGGACGCCAGGGAACCUUCUGGGGUGAUGGGAAUAUUCUAUAUCUUUUUUUUUUUUUUUUUGAGAUGGAGUCUCGCUCUGUCGCCCAGGCCAGAGUGCAGUGGCACCACUUCGGUUCACUGCAACCUCCGCUUCUCGGGUUCAAGUAAUUCUCCUGCCUCAGCCUCCUGAGUAGCUGGAAUUACAGGCGUGCACCACCACCCCUGGCUAAUUUUUGUAUUUUUAGUAGAGAGGGGAUUUCACCUUGUUGGCCAGGCUGGUCUCGAACUCCUGACUUCAAGUGAUUCGCCCACCUCGGCCUCCCAAAGUGCUGAGAUUACAGGCGUCAGCCACCACUGCUGGCCGGGAAUAUUCUAUAUCUUGAUGUGGGUGCGGUCACAUGAGUGUUCUUGUAGGCAAAAAUGCAUCAACAGGUACAUUUCAUAUUUGUUCAAGUUAAUGUAUUUGCACUAUGCAUCAAUAAAUCACGGUUAAUAGGUUAAGGGAGUUUUUUGUUUUGUUUUGUAGAGAUGGGAUCUCACUUUGUUGCUCAAGCUGAUCUUGAACUCCUGGCUUCAAGUGAUCCUCCCCCCCUCAGCCUCCCAAAGUGCUGGGAUUACAGGCUUGAGCCACGGAGCUCGGCCAGGUUAAGAUUUUUAAAAAAUAAAUUUAUUUAAAGAAAAAUUCUAUCUAAAUAGCAGUUCGGGGUGUGCAGAUAUGGCCAAAAAAUAAAAAUAAAAAACAAAAAGCAAGCAAACAAACAAAACUUCAACCACUGAAGUUGGGGGUAAUAUAAGUGCUAGGCAAUGCAGAUGUAUUCAGCUUCCCCUUCAAAGGGUGCCAGACAAAAUACAGGACGCCUAGUUAAGUUGAAAUUUCAGAUAAUCAACCAAUACUUUUUGAGUGUAAGUAUGUCCCAUGCAAUAUUUGGGACAUACUUAUACUUUGUUUUUUGUCUGCUUUUGU
rnacentral:lncRNA from 10 species